rnacentral:rRNA from 1 species
UACGUAGGGACCGAGCGUUGUCCGGAUUCAUUGGGCGUAAAGAGCUCGUAGGCGGCUGCUCAAGUCGAAUGUGAAACCUCGAGGCUUAACCUCGAGCCUGCAUUCGAUACUGGGCGGCUAGAGUCUGGUAGGGGGAUCUGGAAUUCCUGGUGUAGCGGUGAAAUGCGCAGAUAUCAGGAGGAACACCGAUUGCGAAGGCAGCUCGCUGGAACGUUACUGACGCUGAGACGCGAAAGCAUGGGGAGCGAACAGG